UUUUACUAGAGUCAUUGGUAAACAGUUCUGCGUCCGGCCAUAUUAAAUUCUUUUGAGCAAGAACGAGCGAUUUUUUAAUUUUUGUUUCUACGAGAAUAGCAAUAUCACAUGCGGCAGACUUGAUUAUUCUGUUGAGCUCCCGACAUUUUUCAGGCUUAUUAAGUGCACGAAUAUUCCAGCAAAUUAUCUUCAUUAGAAAAAGAAAGUAAAGUAUUCAUUCUACAA
rnacentral:lncRNA from 1 species